rnacentral:rRNA from 1 species
UACGUAGGGUGCAAGCGUUAAUCGGAAUACUGGGCGUAAAGCGUGCGCAGGCGGUGAUGUAAGACAGAUGUGAAAUCCCCGGGCUCAACCUGGGAACUGCAUUUGUGACUGCAUCGCUGGAGUACGGCAGAGGGGGAUGGAAUUCCGCGUGUAGCAGUGAAAUGCGUAGAUAUGCGGAGGAACACCGAUGGCGAAGGCAACUCCCCUGGCCUGUACUGACGCUCAUGCACG